rnacentral:rRNA from 1 species
UACGAAGGGGGCUAGCGUUGUUCGGAUUUACUGGGCGUAAAGCGCACGUAGGCGGAUUGUUAAGUGAGGGGUGAAAUCCUGGAGCUCAACUCCAGAACUGCCUUCGAUACUGGCGAUCUUGAGUCCGGAAGAGGUGAGUGGAACUCCUAGUGUAGAGGUGGAAUUCGUAGAUAUUAGGAAGAACACCAGUGGCGAAGGCGGCUCACUGGUCCGGUACUGACGCUGAGGUGCGAAAGCGUGGGGAGCAAACAGG